UGGCUGAGCGGUAAAGCGCUUGGCUUCCGAACCGGGAGUCCCAGGUUCGAAUCCUGG
rnacentral:tRNA from 1 species